GGAGGGCGGGGUUGGGCAGGCUCGCCGAGGCCAGCUCGCCCUGUGCCCUCGUUGUCGUUGGUCACCUCGCAGUCUCCUGAGGCCUAGACUCCAUGGUCUCAAAAACGCACGAACAAUAGCUAGCCGUGCUGCGCGCUGGCGUGAGCAAGAAAUGGGGAUGCAGCCUACGUUCCCGAGACUUCACACCAGGGUGUGCGCCCGCCACGCGGCCUCUCCCGGGGCGCGUCGGCUUGAUGGACGUGCUUCCCGCCGAGGAAACCCGCUUCCGGGAGGCCCCAGGGCAGAGGCCUCGCACCCACGUUUCCCGACCGGAGAGCCGGAGCGGGAGCUGGACCUGACCGAGUGGGCCUUCUGCGCUAAGGGCGCCUUUAGCCGCAGGGAUCCUGGCUUUGCAGGACUGUACACCUCCGAUCCAAAAAUCCGGAGAUCCCAGGGCGGGAUACGGCCCCCACACUCAGGGGACCCAUCCAAAAAUGGAAGACUUAAGAGAGAAAGCAAAGCAAACGCAUUAUCUUACAUUCACCGGUAUCCGUAAUGUCAGUACUAAUCAUUCCCAUGAGGAUAAGAGGCACAACUUUGUAACAACCAAAUUGAUUAGUCAAGAUGGCCUAAAUGGAAAUACAGGAAGAGUGAAAUGUGCGUCAGCUCGAGAUAUGAAUAUAUAUAUAUAUACC
rnacentral:lncRNA from 1 species